CCGAGAGUGUUAAAUUUAUUUCUUUAUAAAUAAUAACUAUUUCUUAUGUACAUCUUGGAGGACUCUGUGCGGAUAGCCCAAUAGGGAAUCCAGACGGACUUCAAAAAAUACAUUACUGAUUUUAAGUCCAACAAUAUGAUAGUCAAUGAUGAACUGUUAUACAUAGCUAAUGUUAAACUAGCUGGUUAUUUGGGCUUAAUUUUACUAAUAGAUCCUAAUUCGCCAAAAAUGUUUGGCUUCAAUGUAUAUCACAUCAUUGCGACAUUCAUUUUAAUUUUUUUAUCUAUUAUAAUGAGUUUUUGCAUUGCUGGUUUAUACUUCUGGUCUUAUAACAUCGUAACAUUUUCCACAUUAAUUGAAAUUAUUAUUAACGGUUGUUUUAUGGUAUAUAAAAUUUUGACUGUGAUGCGCUAUUCAAAAAACAUUUGGAAUCUUUUAAAUUUUACUCGAAUUGAUUUUAUGAAGUACAUGUACCAUGAUAGAGGAGUUCUUGAAAAAUGUCGUGAAAGAUCUUUGCGAAGCACAAAUUUAUUUUCACUCAUGUGUUAUUGUAUAUGCUUAGUGUGGACGAUAAUUCCACUGAUUUUAAGAAAUCAUUAUUUGACAAUAAAAACUCGCGACGGUAUAGUCAUUAAAUACCAUUUGAAUGUGUAUAGUGUAUCUUUUAUGGUCUCAGAAACAUUUUAUAAUGAUAAUUUUUAUGCAUUUUACUUGAUUGAGUCUAUAUUUGGAAUGUGUUCUUUACAUUGCUCAGUACUUUACGAUAUUUUUCUUAUAUCAGCAUGCUAUGCAUUGUCCAGUCAAUUAAAAACAUUAAACAAUUCAUAUAAAUUAUUAGGAUUAAGAGCAACAAAAAAAGACAAAAUUGAUCUAAAUAAAAAAUAUAACCAAAUAAAUGAUCCGUCAUUGCUGGACGAAAUAAAAUGUAUUAUUGUUGACCAUCAAGUUUUGAUAAAAAAAAUGGAAGAAUUGUAUGAUAUUGUCCGACCAGUAAUUUUAACUCAGUUGGUUAUAUCUUCAAACACACUGAUAUUUAUGUCUUUCAUGAUUUCAUUGACGCUAAUUAAUAAAACUGAUGCAAACUUAAUUGAAAUUGUAAAAAUGUUAAGUGCCCUUCCUAUUUUUGUGCUGCAACUCUAUUUGGACUGUUUUUUAUUUGGAAAUAUUGAUAAACAAAAAAACGAUUUAAAUUUUUCAAUUUAUAGCAGUGAUUGGAUAAAUAUGGAUUCAAAAUGCUCCAAGUUGAUUUUGUUUGCAAUGCGCAUGAAUAAUGCAAAUCCACUAACAAUGAAAAUAACCUAUUCAAAAAUAGUUAACUUAGAAAUGUUUGUAAAUGUGAUACGUUUGAGUUAUUCGACUAUUUCAGUGCUCAUGAAAUCCAAUAUGAAAUAAUAUAUAAGAAAAAACUUUUUUGUGCUACAAAAUUAAGUACUCUAUUGUCAAAUAAGGGGUAAAGAAAUUAGUGACAGCAACUUGUCUAUCAAUUACUUUUUACCAGAACCGGGUUAUUGUGAUUGUACAUAUCAAGAUCCUCUAUGCAUUUUAGGUAGACCGUUCGAUCGAUCGUACAUGAAAAAAUUGUGUGAAGUUAGUGUAAUUGGUCAUGCAGAUGUUUUAUCACAAAGAAAGUUUACAGUACUAGGAGAGCAUGUUUGCAAAAUGGUGUGCAAAAAGUGUAAAACCGAUGCUAAAAAAAUCGAAAAGAUGAGAAACCUUAAAGUCAUUCUUGUCGAAAGUUACUGUGACAUGGUCGAUAAAGAGUGUUUAGAUUUUUCAAACUUAAUGACAGAAUGUGGAUGUAUUUUGCGUGUGAUAAGUUCCGGUGAAUGUCAAAAUAUAGUCGUAUAUAAAUUUCAAGCCAAUUCAGAAGGAAUGAUCAAAGUUCUAUCCUUUUAAAUAUGAUGAUUUUUAAUUUUAGCAUUUUAGUAAUUAAUAUUAAUAAUUUUAAUAUUUUUACU